rnacentral:misc_RNA from 1 species
GAUGAAGAACGCAGCGAAAUGCGAUAAGUAAUGCGAAUUGCAGAAUUCAGUGAGUCAUCGAACCUUUGAACGCACAUUGCGCCCUGUGGUAUUCCGCAGGGCAUGCCUGUUCGAGCGUCAUUUCAACCCUCAAGCUCUGCUUGGUGUUGGGCCCUGCCCGCUGCGGCCGGCCCUAAAGACAGUGGCGGUGCCGCCUGGCCCUGAGCGUAGUACAUCUCUCGCUCCAGUGCCCGGUGGUAGCCUGCCAGAACCCCAACUCUCGUGGUUGACCUCGGAUCAGGUAGGGAUACCCGCUGAACUUAAGCAUAUCAAUAAGCGGAGGA